rnacentral:rRNA from 1 species
GUAGUCCGCACGGUAAACGAUGGAUGCCCGCUGUUUGCACCUGGUGUAAGCGGCUAAGUGAAAACGUUAAGCAUCCCACCUGGGGAGUACGCCGGCAACGGUGAAACUCAAAGGAAUUGACGGGGGCCCGCACAAGCGGAGGAACAUGUGGUUUAAUUCGAUGAUACGCGAGGAACCUUACCCGGGCUUGAAUUGCAGAUGAAGGAUCCAGAGAUGGUGACGCCCUUCGGGGCAUCUGUGAAGGUGCUGCAUGGUUGUCGUCAGCUCGUGCCGUGAGGUGUCGGCUUAAGUGCCAUAACGAGCGCAACCCCUCUCUUCAGUUGCCAUCAGGUAGUGCUGGGCACUCUGGA